rnacentral:rRNA from 1 species
UACGUAGGGUGCGAGCGUUAAUCGGAAUUACUGGGCGUAAAGCGUGCGCAGGCGGUUUUGUAAGCCAGAUGUGAAAGCCCCGGGCUUAACCUGGGAAUGGCAUUUGGGACUGCAAGGCUUGAGUGCGGCAGAGGAGACUGGAAUUCCUGGUGUAGCAGUGAAAUGCGUAGAUAUCAGGAGGAAUACCGAUGGCGAAGGCAGGUCUCUAGGCUGUAACUGACGCUGAGGCACGAAAGCGUGGGGAGCGAACAGG